AGUCCUUGGGAGGAACGUUUUCCCCCUUUUCUGGUUUACAAGACCAGGGUAAGGUGAAGACG
rnacentral:tRNA from 1 species